UACGUAGGUGGCAAGCGUUACUCGGAAUCACUAGGCGUAAAGCGCAGGUAGGAGGUUUGAUAAGUCUGUUGUGAAAGCUCCCGGCUUAACUGGGAGAGGUCAACGGAAACUAUCAGGCUAGAGUGCGGUAGAGGUAGCUGGAAUUCCCGGUGUAGCGGUGAAAUGCGCAGAUAUCAGGAAGAACACCCCGUGGCGAAGGCGGCUCUCUGGUACGUGACUGACGCUGAGACGCGAAAGCGUGGGGGAGCAAACAGG
rnacentral:rRNA from 1 species